GACAGAGGUGCCGAGCGUUAGGCGGAAUCACUGGGCUUAAAGCGUGUGUAGGUGGAUGCCUAAGUACCUUGUGAAAUCCCAUGGCUUAACCAUGGAAUUGCUCGGUAUACUGGGUGUCUUGAGCCACUCAGGGGCUACCGGAACAAGCGGUGGAGCGGUGAAAUGCGUAGAUAUCGCUUGGAACGCCAAAGGUGAAAACAGGUAGCUGGGGGUGUGCUGACACUGAGACACGAAAGCCAGGGGAGCAAACGGG
rnacentral:rRNA from 1 species